rnacentral:rRNA from 1 species
UACGAAGGGGGCUAGCGUUGCUCGGAAUUACUGGGCGUAAAGCGCACGUAGGCGGAUUGUUAAGUCGGGGGUGAAAUCCUGGAGCUCAACUCCAGAACUGCCUUCGAUACUGGCAGACUCGAGUCCGGGAGAGGUGAGUGGAACUGCGAGUGUAGAGGUGAAAUUCGUAGAUAUUCGCAAGAACACCAGUGGCGAAGGCGGCUCACUGGCCCGGUACUGACGCUGAGGUGCGAAAGCGUGGGGAGCGAACAGG